rnacentral:rRNA from 1 species
AAAAAGCGGAGGAAAAGAAACCAACAGGGAUUGCCUUAGUAACGGCGAGUGAAGCGGCAAAAGCUCAAAUUUGAAAUCUGGCGUCUUCGGCGUCCGAGUUGUAAUUUGAAGAAGGCUACUUUGGGGCUGGAGUUUGUCUAAGUUCCUUGGAACAGGACGUCACAGAGGGUGAGAAUCCCGUGAGAUAAGCUUCCCAGUUCUAUGUAAAGUGCUUUCGAAGAGUCGAGUUGUUUGGGAAUGCAGCUCUAAGUGGGUGGUAAAUUCCAUCUAAAGCUAAAUAUUGGCGAGAGACCGAUAGCGAACAAGUACAGUGAUGGAAAGAUGAAAAGAACUUUGAAAAGAGAGUGAAAAAGUACGUGAAAUUGUUGAAAGGGAAGGGCUUGAGAUCAGACAUGGUAUUUUGUAAACCUUCUCUCUCGUGGAGGGGGCCCCUUGCAGCUUACUGGGCCAGCAUCAGUUUGGGCGGUAGGAUAAUGACUAAGGAAUGUGACUUGCCUUCGGGGAAGUGUUAUAGCCUUGGUUGAUACUGCCAGCCUAGACUGAGGACCGCGUCUUUGACAAGGAUGUUGGCAUAAUGAUCUUAAGCCACCCGUCUUG